rfam:Pseudomonas pseudoalcaligenes KF707 = NBRC 110670 strain KF707 ctg10005, whole genome shotgun sequence.
CUGUGGCGCCGGUUCAGGCCGGCGUCGCAGUAAAACCAGGAAUGCAGCCCACAAAGCCGCGCUCCUUAUCGAAAAAAUAUACAGAUGACCAGCAGGGGCAACCGGGCUGGUGCCCGGACUAUCUGCGCGGGAUCCUUGGUGACUUCAGUCGCUGUGCCAGGACUGGUGAACCUGCGGGUGUCCACGCCGAUGGCGUCCCCUUAUCGAGGGUGACAA